rnacentral:rRNA from 1 species
UACAGAGGUCUCAAGCGUUGUUCGGAAUCACUGGGCUUAAAGGGCGCGUAGGCGGGUCAGCAAGUCCGGGGUGAAAUCUUUCGGCUUAACCGGAAAAGUGCCUUGGAUACUGCUGGUCUAGAGGGAGGUAGGGGCAUGUGGAACUUCCGGUGGAGCGGUGAAAUGCGUUGAUAUCGGAAGGAACGCCGGUGGCGAAAGCGACGUGCUGGAUCUCUUCUGACGCUGAGGCGCGAAAGCCAGGGGAGCAAACGGG